AAUCAACGCUGGCGGCAUGCCUAACACAUGCAAGUCGAGCGAGAAAGUGUAGCAAUACAUGAGUAAAGCGGCGCACGGGUGAGUAACACGUGGAUAACCUGCCUCAAAGUGGGGAAUAACACCGGGAAACCGGUGCUAAUACCGCAUAUUCUGACGAGAUCUGCGGAUUUUGUCAGGAAAGGAGCAAUUCGCUAUGAGAGGGGUCCGCGGCUGAUUAGCUAGUUGGUGAGGUAAUGGCUCACCAAGGCCACGAUCAGUAGCCGGUCUGAGAGGACGGUCGGCCACACUGGAACUGAGACACGGUCCAGACUCCUACGGGAGGCAGCAGUGGGGAAUUUUUCGCAAUGGGGGCAACCCUGACGAAGCAAUGCCGCGUGGAUGAUGAAGUAUCUCGGUACGUAAAAUCCUUUCGACGGGGACGAAACCGCAAGGUUGACGGUACCCGUAGAAGAAGCCCCGGCUAACUCCGUGC
rnacentral:rRNA from 1 species